AGUGCUAAGCCGGAAUAACGGAUAACAUUGAUGUCGUUAAAUAUGAGUUAACCACUCUAGCACUU
rnacentral:tRNA from 1 species